UGGGGCCUUCCCUGGGGGUAGGCCCUGUCCAGGGGCAGAGGGCGGGUCCAGUGCCCAAGACUGACACUGCUUCCCACCUAUCCGCCCACAGGUGAGAGGCCCUUCGCCUGCAGCUGGCAAGACUGCAACAAGAAGUUUGCACGCUCAGACGAACUGGCCCGGCACUUCCGCACGCACACGGGGGAGAAGAAGUUCAGCUGCCCCAUCUGUGAGAAGCGUUUCAUGCGCAGCGACCACCUGACGAAGCAUGCGCGGCGCCACGCCAACUUCCACCCAGGCAUGCUGCAGAGGCGCGGCGGCGGCUCGCGGACCGGCUCCGUCAGCGACUACAGCCGCUCAGAUGCCAGCAGCCCCACCAUCAGCCCGGCCAGCUCGCCCUGAGCGCCCAUGGCUGGGCAGGCGGCCAGCGGCACCACCCGGCAGAGCCCACUGCCCGGCUCUAAGUUCGGAUCCUGGAGUGGCACAGCCCUGCCAGCUGGGCUUCCUGCUGUCCAGCUGCCAGAGUUCUUGGCCCCCCCAGGUCUGAGUGACCCCCCACCCCGUUACAGCCAUGAGCAGAUGCUUGUACUUCCUUUUGUGAUUCCCUGUCUUUUCCUUUUGUAAUAACAGAGAGAGAGAACUUUUUGAAAAGUCAACAACAACAACAAAUUUUUCUUCACCUCAGGUGUCAAAGUAAAUUUGUAGAAAAACAACAAAAAAAUUCAAAAAAACACCACACACAGAUUGCACAAUGGACUACCACGAGGUUGACAUUCAGCGGUGUGAACCCCCUUUCUCAGGGAUGGACAUGUUUCAUAGGACCCCCCGCCUCCCCGGAGCCCUCUCUGCAGCCUCGCAGAGAACUGGAAGCAGAGACCCAGCAGAGACCCAAGUCCUGUAGGGCACUAGCCACUGUCGAGCUGACACGGCCCAGGCCAUGCCUGCCCCCAUGGCAUCGAGGACUCACAGAGCACGAGAGGGUGGUGCUCGCAGAAGGUAAGGGGCCUUCCCUCUCCUACGAUGCUCUCUGACUGGAAAACACAGCCUGGGAAUUCUGGUCUUCUAAAAAGAUGUGUUGUUGCUUCACCCGGUCCCGAUCCCCUGGACAGGCCCUGCUGCCAAGGCCCUUGUCUGUGGCCAAGGCUGAGGUUGUCGGCCACUUCACCGGAGGGCUGUGUGUGGAUGGCACACGUGUGCUCGGUGUUGUGCAGAUACCAUGUCUUGUCAGAGACUGGAACACUGUGACCUGGAGCCUUUCUGUAGUGGUGAAGCGGAUGUCAGGAAAACUCGUCUGAGAAAGUACUUGUUUUCCUCCCCAGGGCAUACCAGAUGGAAGGUUGUGGAAAGCACUUUUCUUAGAUCUACAAGGUCCCCAGGUCAGACUUAGCCGACUUGGCGUCCCCUGGACCCUCUUUCCUCUCUGCUUCUCCAGGUUAUGCCAGUGGGGGGUUUGGACUGGAGUGCCCCUCGCAGGUUCUCGCUAAUCAAGGCAGCGCAGAGAGCCAGCCAGGACAGUUCCCCAAAGCUCCUCCUUCUGCAGAAAGCUGGACACGGGCCUCUCAGCACUGCUUGCCAGAGGCACCUCCCCACCUCCCCUCCCAAGUGGGGGCCUUUAAGUCCAAGUCCCCAUGACAGUGUGUGAGUGUGUGUGUAUGGAGGUAGGGUUGGGCAGACUUGGGGUGUUUUGCAGAGACCUGUACUCAUUUUGAUGAGGAAGAGCCCUCGAGCCCCCAGACGGGCUUGCUGGGCCCAGAGUGCCUUGGCUGUGUCUGUCCAUCUUCCCCUGCACUCCACCCACACCAUGGGGCGAUGGUAGCACAGAAGACCCCAGAGGCGAUAAGCACAGCCAAGGUCCGCAGCCCCUGGCAGCUGCUUCGGGCUGGCUCCAGCGUGGAUGGCCCCCUGUGUGUGGCCAGGGCACCCUGAGUGUCAUGUGUGUGAGCGGGCACUAGCUGUGACGUGGUGGUGGCUCAGAGCAGCACCAUAGGUACUGAGUUGGGUGGUAGCAUUGGUCCUGCUGCUUGGGUGGGUUGGGGGAGAGGUGGAGUGCAGAGCGCGGUGACAGCCCUGCAUGCACCCUGCCCAGGAGAGAGAGUGGAGUGCUGGAGAGACCUCGGCAAAGGAGAGCGCUGGGUGCUUGGGCGCUGAGACUUCGCACCCAGGGCCAAGGCGAGCUCUGGAAGGACCCCUGGCGGUCCCUCCCAAAGCUGUUUCCCUGCCAGGCAGGGAGUGCCACACUCAGAAUACGUCUCAUGUCUCAGGAAUUCACAUUCCAGGUUCAGGAAUUUUAUUCCAAAGUCCUUUGGUGCGAUCACUGUCCACAGGUCCCAGAAGGCAGGGGGAGGUGUCCCUUGGAAGCAGCAAGACCUUCUCCCCAGGAGGGGUGGGGGCUCCCUGUGCCACGUCCAAGGUCAUGGAGGAGUGUCUGCACCCCUACCUCUGUAUGUGCAUAGGAAGGGAAAAAGGACUGAAACCCAGGCGGCUUGAAAUAAAGAGCUGGUUUGUUUUCCGUGGGGGUGGGGUGGGCUAGGGAAAGGGGGCGUUUGCUGUUUCCAAAGAGAGCACUUAAUUUAAUUUCUCCUCUCAGUGACCCAGGGCUGUCCGUCUGGCAGAUGGGAGGGUAAAGUUGCCUUAAAACAGAAAAAUGCAGGCGUGGGCUAUUUAUGGCAGAUGAGCGUCUUCGUUCCCAAAAGUGUCUCUCGCUAAAUGGAGGGUGUAGUCCCUUCAGUGGCCUCGCCCGGGAGAUGGGUGGGGUGCCCUCAGACUUGGGGCACCUGGAGGGCAUUGGUGCUGGGAACCCCGGGGCCAUUCAGCCUGGGGCUCCAGCCUGGACCUUGUGGGAUCACCUGGGCUGAAAUUAUCUCACUUGAAGGGUGGAAAAAAUCUGAGAGUCCCAGGCUAAGUCCAACUGGGCGCUCCCCAGUAUGGCUCCAUCUUGGGAGUGUGUGUCUGAGGGGGAGCCUCAGGAAGCCACACCUGCCCAGGCCUCUGCAGGGGGCCCACCAGAGACAGCUUGCAGUUCCUUCUGAGCUGGAGAAUGCCCUGCCCAGCCCAGGCCUGGUUCAGGGUGUUUCAUGUUAUGGUUUGUGACCGCGCUUGCUGCUUUCAGUGGGUUGAGGAACCACAGCACCUCCAGGAACAAUAGUGCAACCUCACACCGUCAUUUUAGCACAGGCUUCAGUUCUAGCAGGCCGAGGAGGCUGCUUGAGCGAAGUGAGAGUCCCCGCCAAAAAACGGCCUACAGGUGACCCUGGAUGCAAUCUCCAGGGGGCUGGUGUUCAGCUUGUGACCCAAACAAUAAAGCCUGUCUUUGCAUCAGCCAUUUUAGGGAAUGGCUUCUGCUCCCCUAAAUGCCUACAGAAUCCUAUAGCCAUACUAGAAAAUCAGAUACAACCCUAUCCACAAGGGCCUGUGGGCCUCUCCUGCUGGGUGCUAUGUGGAACUUUUCAAAUGCAGUUCUGGAGGCCGUGCUCACACCCUGCGCCCACUGCCUAUCACAGCUUCCUGAACUGCAGACCCCGCCCCCUUUAUCCCCGGCCACUCCUCCAGGCAGGUGUUCCCUUGGCAGGCAGGGACUCCCUUGGCGGGCAGGUGCAGGAAUCCCCAUGGCCUGUUUUGUUCAGCCUCCGAGGGUAACACCAACAGUACCAGGGCUCCAGACCUCACUAGCACUGGGUCAUGGCACAGACACUGAUCAGGUCUAGGUGGGCAGUGGGCCUCAGCAGCCCCCAGCCCAUUUGCUGAACAUUUACAGAGAGGCGGUGACUUCCCAUGGCCUGUGUGAAACAUGGCAGAGGUGGAUCCUGCUCACGGCUUCUCCGACCAGCCCGCUGUCUGCAGAGCCCAGCCUCCUUGCUGGCCCGAAGCAGGUGCUGAGCACUGCACAGGUCAGGUGCUCACCUGAGACCUCAUGCUCCCCCCUGAACGGGGGGCCACUGUAGGAAAGCAGGGUCUGAGCAGAGCACCCCCGGUUUCUCUGCCCCAGUUUGGGCUGUGUUUACAAGGCUACCUAGUACUGAAUUCUGACGGGUGUCACUGAAUUUUUUUUUUCUUUUAAACCUAUUUAGAAAAAGUCAGUCAAAGACACCGUGCCAGCAAGUUUGAGGGGUUUGACGUGUUGGUCACGUCACCACUAGUGGUAGGAAAUAGGAAAGAGGCGGUGCUUUGUGAGUCACCCACGUCUUGUGCUGCCCAAAGGCUGUGUUUUUCACAGCUGAGCUGGAGGAUGUGGGCUGGCCACUCUUGAGUUCAGGAUUGCCCCUGGGAGAGCCAGGCCAUAGGACCAGCUCUCCUGGUUCGUAGGUAGGUUUCAAAGGCUUGUCCUGGACACGGUCCGGAGGGUUUCUUACAGAAUUCGGAGGCGCAGCGUAGCUUACCACUGAUAAAUGCCUGGGCGUCAUCCUUUAGGCCUCCCUCAGUCACCAGCCUGUCCCAUCCCUCCUCAGUUGGACAGUUGGAUUUGGCAGGCAGUGGGGGCUUUGGGUCCAGAAGAGAAAUGGCCACACUCUUGGUUUCUGCUGACCACACCGAGAGACCAGCUUUGCAGUGUGGCCACCUGGCCCUGCCUCGUCUCUCUCCUUCUCAAUGAGCUUUAAAACUACUACUUUUAUUUAAAAAUUAACAGGAUGGGAAAGCAGCCAGCCCUGCCCUGCAUGUCACGUGUUCCCUGAGGGGGUAGGAGCGGCUGUCUCCCAGGCUUGGGGUUCCUUCUGUUGGCCCUGGGUCUCUUACGAGAGGCUGUGUUGACAGACCACCCCUCACACCCAUUUGGAAACCAGAUAUGCAGCUGUGUGCCUGCAGAGCAAACCCCAUUCUCAGCACACAGGCCAGCCGUACUCCGCAGGGUCCCUCCCCAGGCUGCCCGUGAGAGGAGGGGGUGUCUCCCAGACACCAUGUCAUCAGCCCUGUGUCCAUUCCCAAGGUCAGAGGGAGGAGCUGUCCCUGGGCCCCACCCCUGAGAACCCUGAGGGCUGGACUGCCCUGCGUGAGGUGUCUACUGAGCAACUAUGCAUUGUGGGGUGGGGUUGCGAAGGUCCUUUGAGACCCUGAGCGGAAACUCACUUGUGUGGGUGCCUUGAGGGGUCUCGGCCCCCCAGCCUGUACAGACAACCCCUUCCCAUCCAAAGCCAUGAUGGGAGCUUCUUUGGAAUCAUUUGUCAAAAUGCAAAGGCAAAAUCCAAGGGUCCAAGACCAUUUCCAUCAAGCACAUUUUCUGUUCUGUAGGAACUUUUUUUUUUUAACCAGCACCACACCAUGCUUCCGAAGGCCACGGUUCAUCUUUUCCAGAUCACUACAGUGAAGUAUUACAGUUGUACAGUUCCCAAUCUGGCCUUGGCUUGCUAGGAUGAAACUUUGUAUGUAUUUUGUAUGGCAUAGAUUCUAUAUUGUAAUGAUGUCCUAUGCAAAAAGAAAAAAAUUAACAAAAUUGUAAAUUUUAUCAUUUUAACGUGUAUGCAUGGUUAGUGAUGUUUACAUUUUGAAAUAAAAUUUAUGAUUCAU